AAUAUCCGAACAAUAAAUUUGCCAGUAAACAAUACACGUGUUGGUAAAUAAAAAGGCUCAUUGUUACUCGUUAUGUGAUUUACGCCACUAUGAUACUAACUCAUUCAUACACUUGCUAUGAAUAACAAAGUAAUGGAGAAGUCCACUUUCAGUGCUUUCUUAUAAAUGUUUUGUAGAAUGCAGAAUAAAUUUUGAUGAAUUUAAUUGUUUCAAUAUGACGACAACGAAGCAUUACGUGCUAUUCUGAAGUUUGCGACGUAAUCGUUGUAAAUAUUAAUCUGGAACAAAAAAUAAUUUCCCUUUUCAUCUAUGUUAAGGGAUUUAGAAUUACGACUGUUUAAAUGAUCCUAGCUGAUCUUGUUGCGUGAAAACACGAUCCGUUCACGUUACAUUUAUGUAGCAGUCUGAACGUGCUACGCGAUAGUUGCUUGGCAAUAUGUAAAACAUUAUAAGGAAAAAUGCACACAGUUGAAGAUUUAUUCCGUACAUUUGGAACUGCAUUUUCAAAUAUUUUCAUAAUCUAUAUUUGGUACGUUCUGCACGGAGUUAUCCAUGUAAAAGGAGUAACUGACUGCGACAGUCAUCGGCUACUGAAAAGUUCAAGAUAAUUGAACCUACAACCAUGAAACAAAGAUUACAGUUCCUUUUUCUUUUCGUCUCCAUGAUUUUGUCGUCAGGAAUUUUUAUGACACCAGCAGUAGGACUUAUCUAUUACCGAGUAUUGUAAUUAAAGAAGAGCAGAAAUGCAUUCGGGGAGUAAGAAAGAAGAGGUUGUAUUGGAUGGCAAAGGUGCUACAUGAGUCUAAUUUUUGGAGGAUGUUAAAAGAACUAGAUUACUAGUGAACGUGUAAAAGAAUUUUCGGAAAAAUUUCAACUGCUUUGAAUAAAAAAACAAAAUAAUA